rnacentral:tRNA from 1 species
AUUUAAGUAGUUUAAAAAAAAAUAUUGAUUUGUGGUGUCAAUGAUGUAGUAAUACUUUAAAUU